rnacentral:SRP_RNA from 1 species
CGGGCGUGGUGGUCUGUGCCUGUAGUCCCAGCUCCUCUGGAGUCUGAGGCUGGAGGAUCGCUUGAGUCCAGGAGUUCUGGGCUGUAGUGAGCUAUGCCGAUCAGGUGUCCGCGCUGUUUAGCACCAAUAUGGUAACCUCCUGGGAACCAGGGACCACCAGGUUGCCUAAGAAGGGGUGAACCAGCCCAGGUCAGAAACGGAGCAGGUCAAAACUCCCGUGCUGAUCAGUAGUGGGAUCCGGCCUGUGAAUAGCUACUGCACUCCAGCCUGGGCAACAUAGGGAGACCCCCAUCUCU